UCCAGAUGCAAGAGAGUGUUUGAAAGGAUGACGCUGGCCCUAACCUGGGGCAGAGGUUCUCCCUGUUGCAAAGUCAGAGGGAGAAUCUUGUGAGUUGGACACAUCAAUGUAUUGAGUCUCUUUUGCAGCAUGGGGUAGGAAUCCACCCGGCAGAAAAUACACCUGUGUGAGCUAAGAAAUAGACUCCAGGACAUCCUCUCUGGCUCUGUGAGAUUCAGGGUCACAUUGAGCUGCCCUAGUUUCCAUCUGCAGAAGGCAGAUUAGGUGAACGACACCCAGCUCUACCACAGAACACUGGCAAAAAAAAAUCGAUUAGGUUUAAGGGGGUUCUGUGUGCUCUGAUGUUGAAGGAUUCCAUGGGCUAAAGCUCCACCUGGGAACUGGACUUGACCCAUCAAGCACUAUCUGCAAGCCCUGCCCAGGUGACAGGGCUGGUGACCCCUGCCGCUGCAUCGACCUCUGCAGUUCUAAGGGGAAACGGACCAGCCAAGUACUUCUCAGUGAAGUAAAAACGAGUCUUGGGCAGGGGUUACCCUGCUAGAGAGUAGGCAGGAAGGGAGGGUCCUCUCUAGCUCUGGGGACUCCACAGCUAGGUAAGGGGUGGGCAUAGGGGGUGGGUGGAAGGAAGCUCUGACGCAGGUGUUUUCCUUGGCUCUGUGCCAGCCAGGCCCGGGGGCAUCAAUCUCACUCCAUCCCCUGGGGCUCUGCCAGUUGGUCAAGGCCAACGUCCACCCUUCUGGGUCAUGUCCAGGCUUUCACCUUCACCCCCGCCGUCCUCACCUCACCUGUGGAAGCCUUUUCAUUCAGACCUUGGGUGAAGUGGUCCCUUCUCCACCCCAGUCCCUCCAGUGGGGAGGACCUAGGAUGUCUGUGCUGAUGGAUGAGCUGAGGAGCCCAAACACCGAGCCUCCUGGGAGGGCGUCCUGGACACAUCCCUCAGCCGUCCCUGCUAUGGGCACCAGCUGCUUCCGUGGGUGGGUGCUGGGAGGAAACGGGGAGCAGUCUCCAGUCUGGAGGUGCUGCUUGUAAACUGGAGGUUUGUCAAAGCCUCUCCACCUCCCGCUCUGAUGUCUUCUCCAUAUUUAGGACUCUGUUAGAAGGAGACAAAAAACCCAACUCAAACCAACUGAAGGGUCCAGGGUUGUGUAUCUGCAGGUACAGCUUGAUGGAUGGGCCCGGGAGAAGCCACCAGGACCUCUCUGUCUCUCUGUGUCUGUCUCUCUGUCUCCUUCUCUCUGACUCUGCUGCCUGUCUGGUUCCUCUCCUGGCUGAGCUCAGCCAUGUGGGGCCAACCCCUCCACCUGCAGUGCCAAACCCACUCCCCUCCUCUCAGGGACAUU
rnacentral:lncRNA from 10 species